GAAAAAGUGUGGAAAAUCAAGGAAAACAAGUGAAAAAGGUGGUGAGCAUUCUAGCAAAAGUAAAGAGAUAGUACUCGAGGAUCGAGAAUCGAAGAACUCGAAAUUCGACUCCCAAAACAGCUCAGAAUAGAUUGUAGAUAACUGAUAUCGUUGAGGACU